GACGAACGCUGGCGGCGUGCCUAAUACAUGCAAGUAGAACGCUGAAGGAGGAGCUUGCUUCUCUGGAUGAGUUGCGAACGGGUGAGUAACGCGUAGGUAACCUGCCUGGUAGCGGGGGAUAACUAUUGGAAACGAUAGCUAAUACCGCAUAAGAGUAGAUGUCGCAUGACAUUUGCUUAAAAGGUGCAAUUGCAUCACUACCAGAUGGACCUGCGUUGUAUUAGCUAGUUGGUGAGGUAACGGCUCACCAAGGCAACGAUACAUAGCCGACCUGAGAGGGGGAUCGGCCACACUGGGACUGAGACACGGCCCAGACUCCUACGGGAGGCAGCAGUAGGGAAUCUUCGGCAAUGGACGGAAGUCUGACCGAGCAACGCCGCGUGAGUGAAGAAGGUUUUCGGAUCGUAAAGCUCUGUUGUAAGAGAAGAACGAGGGUGAGAGUGGAAAGUUCACACUGUGACGGUAUCUUACCAGAAAGGGACGGCUAACUACGUG
rnacentral:rRNA from 1 species